rnacentral:tRNA from 1 species
GGCCCCAUCGUCUAAUGGUUAGGACAUUUCGCUUUCAAUGAAAAAAUACGGGUUCGAUUCCCGUUGGGGCUACCA